rnacentral:rRNA from 1 species
AGAGUUUGAUCAUGGCUCAGAGCGAACGCUGGCGGCGUACUUAACACAUGCAAGUCGAACGGGGAUCAUUGUGUGAGCAAUCAUGUGAUGGUCCUAGUGGCGCACGGGUGAGUAACACGUGGGUAACCUGCCCUUGAGACCGGGAUACCCCUUCGAAAGGGGGGCUAAUACCGGAUACGUUCCCUGGGUCGAAAGAUCUGAGGAAGAAAGGUGGCGCAAGCUGCCGCUCUUGGAGGGGCUCGCGGCCUAUCAGCUAGUUGGCGGGGUAACGGCCCACCAAGGCUAUGACGGGUAGCUGGUCUGAGAGGACGACCAGCCACACGGGGACUGAGACACGGCCCCGACUCCUACGGGAGGCAGCAGUGGGGAAUUUUCCGCAAUGGGCGAAAGCCUGACGGAGUGACGCCGCGUGUGGGAUGAAGGCCUUCGGGUCGUAAACCACUGUCAGUGGGAAAGAUGGGUGUCGGCGCGAUAACCGCCGGCAUCUGACGGUACCUGCAGAGGAAGCCCCGGCUAACUCUGUGCCAGCAGCCGCGGUAAGACAGAGGGGGCAAGCGUUGCUCGGAAUUACUGGGCGUAAAGGGCGCGUAGGCGGGAUGGCAAGUCGGUCGUGAAAUCCCUCGGCUCAACUGAGGAGCGUCGAUCGAAACUGCCGUUCUUGAGGGUUGCAGAGGAGACUGGAAUUCCCGGUGUAGCGGUGAAAUGUGUAGAGAUCGGGAGGAACACCGGUGGCGAAGGCGGGUCUCUGGGCAACUCCUGACGCUGAGGCGCGAAAGCGUGGGGGAGCAAACGGGAUUAGAUACCCCGGUAGUCCACGCUGUAAACGAUGACGACUAGGUGUGGGGGGGUUCAGUCCCUUCCGUGCCGCAGCUAACGCAUUAAGUCGUCCGCCUGGGGAGUACGGCCGCAAGGUUGAAACUCAAAGGAAUUGACGGGGCCCGCACAAGCGGUGGGAGCAUGUGGUUCAUUCGAUGCAAGAGC